CUACAGCUCUCUCUGUCUGCCGGAAAACAUCGCUGCACGAGGACUGGAGUCUAUCCCCAACUUUUACUACAGAGAUGAUGGCCUGAAGCUGUGGAACAUCAUCCAAAGCUUUGUGAAGGCAGUAGUGGAGCACUAGUAUCCCUCAGACUGUGAGGUGCAUAGAGACACUGAGCUGCAGGACUGGAUCAGUGAGGUCUUCACACAUGGCUUCUUAGGAAACAAAGCAUCAGGGUUUCCAGCAGCCUUUCAUACUGUCGAGGAAGUGGUCAAGUUCACAACCAUGGUGGUCUUCACAACGAC